rnacentral:lncRNA from 1 species
GGAAAAAGUGGAAAAAUAUAUAUUAUUGAAAAUGUCAUCUGAGCCAGCAGAAUGCCAGUAGUUCAGGCAACAGGAGGUGACAACACUCAGGUGAGACUCAGCAGCUGGCGCUUGCGGGCAGUGGUGGUGUAGGGGUGCCAACGCCACUCCACAUCAGCGGCAUCCCCUUGCUCCAGGGUCCCAAGGCGGAUCAGGUAGGGGCGUAGCUGGAAGCGGGGUCCCACCUCCUCUAGCUCCACUGUCUUCCCCUGGCGACGGUAAACAUGGUUCCGGACAAGGAUGACGUCAUCUUCGUUGGCAAAAGUCACCACGCGGCGGGUCUGGGGCCGGGGAACAGGGAAGAGGUGCUUGAGGAUGGUCCCUACCCGACGUCCCAGCGCGCUGUCCAGUCGGUGCAGCAAGAUGUGUGGUGCUCCUAGGGGAGCUCCACCAAGACCCCCCACCUCGUGCCUCAGCACAGCCCCGCUCAGUGUGAAGUGGGCUGUAGGGCCGUGGGGCAGGUGGCACAGCACCAGUCCAUCAGGCUGUCCACGGGUCUCAUGCACCACCAGCAGGUCAGUGACGCCAGCCGCCCGGCACGCACUCACCAGGGCCCCUACCUCUGCCCGGCCCCGGUUCAGCCGCCGUGCCCCUGGGAUCACCAGGCACAGCUCCUUGGCAAAGACACGGAGGCGGGCACUGGGGUCACGCGAGGUUGUCACCAUCACCUUGGGGGGCUCCAGCCCUGCCCACCGGUACUCAUCAUCCUGGCUGCCUGUCACACCAUUUUCCCCUGGUGUCUCAAACUCCAGCUCCUUCUGCAAGGCCAGUGCCUGGCGCCUCAGCUCAGUGGGCAGCAGUCGGUUCUCAUCCAAGGCCUGUCUCAGCUGCUCCUUCUUAUCCUGCUGCCGUCUCAGCCGCUCCUCCUGCGCCCGGCGCUGCAGGUACUCACGGCGCUCACGGGCCUGGCGGCGAAGCAUAGCUGCAGCCGCACCGCUCUCUCCUCACACCGGCGCCUCCAAACACCGCCGCCGUUG